UUUGACAUUUUUUAAAACUUUAUUAUGGGGACAUUUUACUUUUUACAUUUUUUUCUUUACUUUAUUGAAGACAUUUUCUUAAUUUUCUCACAUUUAUGAGAAAUAUUAUUAAAAUCUUUAACAAUUUGAGCGCAUUUUCAUUACUUUGUGAACCCACACCGGGGUUAAACCACACCGUUGUGACCAGUGUGGGAAAAGCAACAGCUACAUUAACAACCUCAAAGCUCACAAACGUGUCCACACUGGAGAGAGACCACACAGAUGUGAUGAGUGUAAGAAGACUUUUACAACUUUGGGUUCCCUGAAACAACACCAGCAGAUCCACAGCAGAAAGCAUUCAAUCAGUGUCACAGUAAGAGCGGCACAGACCUGCACACUGGACACAACCUGAACGCCUGCCAAGAAGACUUCCCCACGCCGGUUCAGUCCAAGUUCCUGAAGUCGUCCACAGACUUUAAAGGAUCACCCUUGGCCUGAAGUGUAAAUAGUUUUGAUAAAAUUGUUAUUUUUUUGUGCAAUUUGAAUGCCUCACUGAGAUCAGAGAGCCACAGUUUGUCUGCACAUGCUGUUUACUGGUUGGGCAAGCAUUCGCCGCCUUGGUUCAACGCCUCCAGCAGAUUUUACAAUGAGGAUGAAUAGAUUUUUAGUAAAAUCAGUCUGAAUUCUGUCAUUCCAGCUUCUUAAAUGUGAAUAUUGUCUGCUUUCUUUCCUCUUUUAUGACAGUUGACAGUAAACUGAAGAUCUUUGCGUUGGUUCACAUUUUUCACCAUUUUAAAGACAAACUCAUUUUGAUGAUUAAUCUGUUUUAAUCCAUUUUCAAAAAGAAAACAGUCUAAAUUCUGUGAUUUUAGUUUCUUAAAUGUGAAUAUUUUCUGGUUUCUUUCUUCUGUGACAGUAAACUGAAGGUCUUUAGACUAAAUCAGACAUUUGAGGAAAAUGGUCCACAUUUUUCAUAAUUUUCAUGGAUUUUAUAGAUGUUUUAGUUGUAGCCCUUCAAUGAACUUUUGUUAAACCAAACUAAAUUCAAAAAAGCUCAAAUUUAAAGCCAGACAGAGAAAGUUUGAGUAAAUUCUGAUUUUUAGCUCCAAGUUUGGUCUCCUCCAGCAGAUUUUAGAAUCAGAAUGAAUAGAUUUUUCCAAAAAAAAAAAGUCUAAAUUCUGUGUUUUCAGUUUUUUAAAAGUGAAUAUUUUCUGAUUUCUUUCCUCUUUUAUGGUAGAAAACUGAAGAUCUUUAGACUAAAUCAGACUUUUGAGGAAACAAUGAUCCACAUUUUUCAUGGAUUUUAUGGAUAUUUUUAGUUGUAGAUCUUCAAUGAACCUUCGUUAAACCAAACUUCAUUCAAAAAACUUCAAAGUUCUCUAGUUUUGAUCAGUGUUUAUUUUCUAAUAUCUCCUAAGUUGUUUACACUGUGCUUCAUAAUAUACAUAACUCCUGAGGUGUUGCUCUUUUCCUCCUGUUUGGAUAUUUUCAGCGAUGACCUUGACCUUUAGAAGCUGUGUUUUGUUCUCUAAUGAUGAUCUCCGGUGUGUGAAGCGACUGAAGCUGAGGAGAGCUUGGUGUUUCGUGCUGUUUCACUCUCAGGUGGAUUUUUUUGGGCAAUAAAGAUGAUCCCCUUAAUGCA